GCAGUCGUGGCCGAGUGGUUAAGGCGAUGGACUAGAAAUCCAUCGGGGACUCGAGGGAUCCAAUCUAGAUCAGUUUCACACAGGCUCGAUUCCUGUCGACUGCG
rnacentral:tRNA from 2 species